GAUGAACGCUGGCGGCGUGCCUAAUACAUGCAUGUCGAGCGAACGGACGAGAAGCUUGCUUUUCUGAUGUUAGCGGCGGACGGGUGAGUAACACGUGGAUAACCUACCUAUAAGACUGGGAUAACUUCGGGAAACCGGAGCUAAUACCGGAUAAUAUUUUGAACCGCAUGGUUCAAAAGUGAAAGACGGUCUUGCUGUCACUUAUAGAUGGAUCCGCGCUGCAUUAGCUAGUUGGUAAGGUAACGGCUUACCAAGGCAACGAUGCAUAGCCGACCUGAGAGGGUGAUCGGCCACACUGGAACUGAGACACGGUCCAGACUCCUACGGGAGGCAGCAGUAGGGAAUCUUCCGCAAUGGGCGAAAGCCUGACGGAGCAACGCCGCGUGAGUGAUGAAGGUCUUCGGAUCGUAAAACUCUGUUAUUAGGGAAGAACAUAUGUGUAAGUAACUGUGCACAUCUUGACGGUACCUAAUCAGAAAGCCACGGCUAACUACGU
rnacentral:rRNA from 1 species